UCAUAAAAUAAUUGGGCCAGAUCACUUGUUGGCAGGAACUUGCAACUGGGAAAAAGGCUUAAUUGGAUUGACAGGCAAGAAAAGGGAUUAUGGUGCAGGACGGAAGAAACAAAUGGUGAGAUUUGGUGUAGGCUGCCCAGGCUGGUGGCGGAGUCGCUGUCCUGGAGGUUUUCAUAAGAAGAGUGGACACGGCACUGAGGGACAUGCACUGGGAAGGCCACAGCUGGCCUCUGUCCUGCCCUCAGUGACGCUUUUCCAGAAGAGAGCAAUGCGAGUCGGUUGCAGAAUUGUCAACUAUGGAAAAGAAAGAAGCACCACAGUCCUCCCUAACCUAAAGGAGAAAGCAGCAGAGAGGUAGGCUGUCAAAUCGUGAAGAUUGUUUUUAAAAAACAUUGAGCCAUUUUUACUUUCUCAUUGGAAGUAAGCUGAGGGGUUGGACAGUCAGAGAGAGAGCCUCAGCCCACCGCUAACCCUGCAAAGCCAUGUGAGUUGGUUGGCUUGUUUGGGGUGGGUAUUCUCAAAUCCAGUAAAACAAGUUGCUUCUCCCCUACAUAUUUCACUGUAAUCAGUUCUGGUGAAACAUCAGAAGGCAACAUUCAGAAUUGUGAUCAAAUUGAAUAAUUUAAUAUCUUUGAGCAUGUUUACUGAGCCUCACCUCUUCCAUUUUAUGCACAGCACAUUGGCUGUAGGCUUCUCUCACAAUUACAGUAAUUUAUUAUGCAAUAUCUGUAGCAGAUGCUGAGCUUGAUUCUAUUGUUGUCUGCCUUUUGGUUGGUUUUUUUUUUGUUUGUUUUUUUUUUUUUUUUUUUUUUUUUUAAUUUUUAGCUAUUGGAGCAUAGGUUUUGUCUGUUCAAUCCUUGUUUCCACCCCAUGCCUGUAACUGUGGUAUCUCCAGCAUACCUGUCCUGAAAGAGAGGGUUGUGGCUGCUAGAUUCAAGUUGAUGCUCUUUUCUUACCUGUGGCAAAAUUUUCUACUUCUUUUCUUGCUACUGAAUCAAAAACUCUGACUUCUUUGAUGUAGUCUUGUUGGGACAGGAGCUCUGUGAUCUUUUCCCCAAUAAAACCACAUCCUCCUGUCACCAGGUAGACCUGGGCUCCAUCCAUUUCUGAGGACGUUUUUGUGGUUAAGGAGCAGAGAGAUCCUAUAGUGCACUGUUGAUCUCUCAGCCAAUAUGUUUUCUGAUCUAAGUCUAAAGUCUAACCUUCACAGUGUUGGUGUUAUUGGCUGAACAUUAACUCCAUCCAGUUAUGCGUAAGUCAGGUUUUUGCUGGCACAGCCACAUUGGUGCUACAUGCUGUUCUGGUCUUUCUGACUCAGCCUUUCCCUUCCACUCACUGGUGUAGGAUCAGUGGGGCACCUCCAGCUUGUCUCGGUCCUUUGCCCAUCUUAGCCCACAGUUGCCAUGCUGAGUGUUUUUCAUGGUCAGUUGGUGUAGGUUGGACCUCUGUGCAAAGAGUGCAUGUCCUGGAGUGUGCUCAGGGCAUCCCUCAUUUAGUGUGAAGCUACUAAAAAGUUCUUGCUGACAUGCACUAAUGAAUUUGUAUAGACAGUGAAACAGCAGCAGAUCUACCCAGCGCUGUGUAGAACUGCACACAAUGCAGGCAGGUUCAAGAAUGGGCAUUUGUAAUGUCCAUGAUGGCUUUGCUGAAUUAAUUCUGCUUGGAAUUGGAAUACACACACACACACAUUUAGGAGGAGAAAGUCCACUUAAUUUGAAAAAUGUGUAGUAGCAAAAGCUGUACCACAUCCUAUGGCAAAUUGUUGCAGUAAUUAAUCACUGUCAUUGUUAAGAACGGACUGUUGUGUUUUAUUCAAUGGACAGUGGCUAAUACACCUUCUCCUCGCUGAACUAUGGACAUAUGUUAUCCAGUUUGUCAUGUGGAUAAAAAAUGGGAUUGAAGGGUUAAGACAGUUUAUUCAAAGGCUAUCAGUAUUUUGCUUGUGUGUGUUUUGGGGAUCAGCUCCUGCUACAAGUGCAAGCUGUUAACUCUGCCAUUGAUUUUCCUUGUGCUGUGUUAAGCAUUGGGAAAAGAACCAUUUCCCCCAUGAUUACAGUCCCUGGCCAUAAUGGCCCAGAGACCAGCACAGACCUGAAGCUAAUUGGUACUUGGCAGACCAAUGCAGCCACAAACGUCCCAAGAAAUUAGUUUGGCCUUUUAUCCAGCAACUCCCAAUCCGUACACUAGUGAUUAACAGCCCUGCCUUCCCUCAGGGGACUUGUGCAAGGAUAAAUAUAUCAGAGUUGGAGAUCUUUGGACACAAAAACAAGAUAAAUACACCCUGAAGGACCCAGAGCAGUGCUGCAUGGGAAUGUUUGGCAACAAGUUACCUUGAGCCUCUCCUGAUCAGCACUGCAAAAAAAUCUGCAUGAAGUUGAGGCCUUGACUCUGUGGACGUUUCUCGUUGUUUACAGUACUUUGCUACAGUAGUGAUAGCUGCGUAUCUACGGUGUGAUAUGAGCAGUGGGAAGAGCACUGGCUGUGAUUUACACAUCUCUUGUUUGUAUUAGGGAGCAAAAACAAGUUCAGAAACCAGACGUGUCACCUAUGACAGAAGCACUUGGGGUCCUUUGCCACCUCCUCCCAUGCCUGGCUGUGGAGGCUUCCUUGCAAUGCAGGAUGUGCAAACUUUAUCUUGCUUGAAGGCUUACCAAGGCUCCCUUCCCUUCUUUUCUUCCUUCUUUCUUUCCUUCCUUCCUUCCCUACCCGGAUUUGCAUACAUACAGUGAGAGAAAGCUGAGAUGGCAGGAAAGAAAAACAGAUGCCUUAAUUUCAGGAUGCAUUCUGCUUGAACUUGCUCUGAACUUUGUAAAUGCAGGACACCUGACAUCAUACUCAUUUACAGUAUGUUUAUUUCUCAGUGCAUUACAUGAAAGGUCUUUGGUAUUUGUGGGUUCUUGAAUACUGUUCCCACUCUGCUCUGUAAGAAAAUGCUGAAUACAAAACAUUCCAUAUACAGUAACAAAACCCAUAGCAAAUAAAGAGAAAUAGGUAUCUUGAACAAUAACAUAGCAAUAUGAAAACAGGUAAGUAACCAUGCAAGAGGUGGAACAAACAGGUUGUGUUUACAACAAACAUUAGAGCCUGCCAUAAAUUAACUCAUCGUGUCAGAAGAGAUUAUUUAUUUGUGUUCUAAGUUUAGAAACUACACGACUGCAAAAUACUGCCUAUGGCUGCCCUAUUAAAGACCAAAUGUUGUAUAGCUUAUUACAAUGGGACCAUUUGCACACAUACAAAACACACUGAUAUAAAUAAAAAGAUACUGCGUAAAAUAAGUAGUGAAAAAAUUAACAUUUCCUUCUAUGGGUGGGAAUGUGCACUGUGGACAGUUAUAGCACCUUUGAAUUGCCUGGUUUCAAAGCAAUAAUGGAAACUGCAAGUAGUUUAACCCCUAUAUCACCAAGCACGGAAUGUAAUCUUGAGUAAAGCAGAAGCUGUAAACAUGGAAGAGAAAGAAUUUCCAAUAUACUGUAUUAAGAAGUAAUUCCAGAAGCUGAUUGUCUUUUGGAAGCCUUUGUCACAGUGGUCGGGUUCAUUACAUUAAAACAGUUCAUUGAAGAGACUGGGAUUGAAAGUGAAUCCCAGAGCCAAACUUUCAGGAAGCCAUGUGCACCAGUUCUUGUGAGCUGGCAACUUGGAUCUGCUUGUUAUGGCCUGUCCCUGUUCCUAUGGAAGGUGUUGGGAAAAUUACUGUGCAGUUUGGUGGGAGCAGAUGAGGGUUCUUCUCUCUGGUUUAUUCUUAUUUCCCCAGGUUGCUAUCAAUUCUUUACAGUAAGUGCAAAUUGGAUACUCUGGAGAGAAGUAUUCUCCACCUCCCAGGUGUACCAGAUUGCUGGUGAACGUCAGGGUGCACAAGUUGCAAAGAUUUUCAGUUGUGCAAUGUGCUUCUGGUUAGCUCACAGCAAGGAGAAUGCAUUUCUACCACCAGAACUGAUCCAAGUUAGAAACACACUGGCGUUCAAAGAAACAUGAAGAAUUUCAAAGAAGUCUUAGGAAAAAAAGGAAAAGAACACACUAUGGUAUUGCACAGUAUGCAUGUAAGAUAAAGCACUAAACAUUUCAAUUAAAAUAUAUUUCUAAAUGAGCACGCAUCCAAAUAAAUCCACUCUCUAAGUUACACAGACAUGGCAAGAUGCGUAGAUGCCCAGGCUAAAUGAAUCUUAGUAUCCUGCCUAAGAUGGGAAACGUGGUUGGAGUGGUUGGCUUAGUCAUGAAUGCCAUUAAUUGCUGAGUGUGAGGCUGUGUUCACCUUCACAGCAUAUUUAAACUGGGACUGUACAAGAGCAUGGUCCAACCAUUGCAUAAGUAGUGAGGAACGAAACUCCAGGUGAGAGGGAAAGUCCAGUUGGUUUAAUCCCACUGUAACCAAAUUAAAGAUACAGUACCACGUGAAAGAGUGAUACAGGAACAAAGCAAGAAGUGUGGAGAGCGAAAGCUGACAUAGCUCUUAAAUCAAUUUAGAAAAGGCAAUAAUUAAAACUGUUGCAACCCAAACCUAACCAAUCUUAUGACUGUUGGCUUGGCAGGAUUAAUUGGAAACAACUUCAAUUACAUUUCCUUUCAUCUUACCAUUAAUUUGUUUUAAAUAAUUUCUUCAUUUAAAAUCUGAAAUCCUAGUCAGUAUGAAUGAAGAAAGUACUCAUUAAGCUAAUGCAAUAGCUUGGAAUUCAUAAGGGCAAACUCGGAGGAAAAAACAUUUCUCUUUCAAUUCAAUGUGAAAGCUCCAAAAUGCCAGGGAAAUGAAAAAGGACCCAUUGUUCUUUUGCUCCAGAUUCAACCCUGAAGUCAGAGGACCAGUGAAAUGAAUUUUAAUGUUUCACCUUUUCAAUAUUGCUUGGUUAAUUCCUGAAUCUGAAACCUUAAUACAGCCAGUACCUCUAGCUUGCACCAGUCUGCUCAGCAUACAUGUUUAGCUUGGUCUGUGAUUUCUCCUCAGCUAUUUAUGUAGCUGUACAGCAGUAGAAGCUUCUCCAUGUGGACAGUUUUCUCUGUUACUUGUUAAGCAUCAACUUAUGCUAUUUUGCCCAUUUUGAGAAGGAUGGUUGGAUUUCUAGGGAACGGGGCCAAACGAACCCAUUUGGCAAACUCAGUUAUUCUAAAGUAGCCUUUAUCCUGUUCAUUUCUGAAAAUACGAUGCCCUUCAGAGGUAACAUUUGGGUGUUAUGAUGUCUCUGUGUGUUUACAAUAUAUGCAAAAGGUCAAUUUAAUGCGUGGUCAAUGGGCUGGCAAAACUCCUUCAUUUUAAGGUUCAUUUCCAGUAUAGAAUGUUUGUGUUUUUACCUUAGAAAGGUCACUUUGGAUGAUGAGGAUUCCUGAAUGCAUGGACCAUACAUACAUACAGUGGUUUCUACAAAAGCUUUUGACAAAAAGUAGUUGUAGCAGUUCUGCUUGCCUCUUUCAGAUAGCUAUAUACCUUGCACUAGGAAGCAGACAGAACGCAACAAAUGUUUGUGACUGAUGCGUUAAGAUGACAAACACAAUUUGCUCGCUUUUGUUCUGGUCUACAGGUAAAAAUUUGACAGAACAGUGAUAAAUGUAUAUAUAUACACCUAAGUAAAAACAGUACCAUUGGUUGUGUCGAUCAGUCUUACCAUUUCUAACAAAAUUCCAUGUCUACGUGAAUGGCUUGUCUAAUUGGAUUUGCACAGAAGGUGUAAGAGAUUCAUUGGUCACUGAAGGGCAGGUUCAGCCUCUUCACCUUGAAUGCUGGGACUUUCGUCAAAAAGUUGUUAUUGCAAAUAGUAGAAUGAUUUUGUAUUUAGCUUCUGAGUGCAGGAUAACCUCCUGUCAAGACUAAUCCCAGAGUGUGAUUUGCUGUUACAACUGUCUGGGGAUUCAAGUAGCAAAGAUUCUCCCAUAGAAUAAAAAUACCCAUGGUAAUACUUUUCCUUAUUGAUGUUUCUUAACUCUACAUUUUCUGGUAAUAGUUAUUGGUGUUACUAAAUUUUCUCUGUAUGUAUGUGCAAAAUGAACACAGCAUGGUAAAACUCCAUUGCAUCUGCUCUAAAUUUUCACAGAAACAGUCAGAUCUCAUUGAAGUCAGUGUACACUAUCAACAUUUUCAUCAAAAGUCCUUUCACCAAUACAAUUAAUGCCAUUCACAUGCAAUCUGCAACAUGUAGAGUAGAGAUUUUGAUGCUGAAUUCUGAACAGUAAUCAGAAUUUUCAGAUGAACAGUAUAAAACAUUCCUGGAAUUUUCCAAUUUGUUCUUUGCUUAAGAGAAAUCCUUGCAGAUAAGAAUGCUUUAAAGGCUUAUGAAAGUGUUACCUUCAACUGGGAGUCAGCUUGACACCACUGCAUGAAACAAAAGCAGAUGCCACCAACUACACUGAAGGACAAGGUUAAGGUUUGGCUUUGAGCCUAGUUGGGAUUGAUUAUGUCAGCCAGUUAAGCAGGGCUUUACCGAGUGACUUUCAAGGGCUGUAGGGAACAAGGGAAUGAUUAAACUCUGGAGACAUAUUCAGGAGGUGUUAUUGCUAUGGACGGCUUCCAAGGGUACAUGGCAUCUGGUAUUCCAAAGGCAAAAUAACAAAAUCAAGAAAAGUGUCCAUACGACCCUCUCCAAGCUCGGGGUAAGGUACUCCCUGCAAUAAGGGCAUAGCAUUGGCCAGGUAAGCAAAUCCAACUGCCAAUACUAGAGCUUCCCACUCACUUCAUUUGCACUCUGUAAUUAAGCACUGGGAUACUGUAUCUUUAACUGGUGGACGAGCAGGGAGAAGACAGAGAUGCUCCUACUUCAUCCGACUGCUUCUCCUUUUGGCUUCACUGUCAUCCAGCAGUGAAGAGAGGAUCUGGUAGGCUUGAGGCUGCUGAGGUCCUCCACGCUUGAUCUUGAUGCUGCUUCGCAGAGGAGAACCCGGGAUCACGUCUUGUCCAGAGCCUGGCUCAAUGGAAGAUAAAGAGUCUGUAAGGAGAGAAAGUCACGGGAAAGCACUAUUUAAAAGGGGAGGCUAAGGAAAGACUGAAUGGGCCUUUCUGAAUUCCUCUUCUGGAAGACGUGUCGUCCCUCCUGCUGUCUUUCUGUCCACCAAGAAGUCGUGUUUGCUGCCAUCGUAUUACUCCAAUAUUUAGCCCUGUCUGAACUUUGGGGUAAAUACUAGUACUGCAAGCAACACAGCAGCUCUUGUUCCUAUUUGUCACCUCAUUUAUAAAAACACUGCUCUGUUAUUGAUCACAAUUUGCCUUGGGCUGCAAUGGCUACUCAGCACUGCCCACAGACUCCUGUUACUGAAGGACAAAGCAUUAGCAAGGGGUCACACAGAAGUGAUUUUCCUGGGGAUAGAGGUACCAUUUCACUCCUUGUGAAGGUGGAUGUCUUUCCUGAAAGGAUUGAAUGAAAAGCUUGAUUCACCCUAGGCUACAGCCACAUUAGCCAUGAAGCUGGGAAUAAAUAUUAGCUGUCUGUUCUCCCAGCAUGCUUCAUGUUAACACACACGUCCUCUUCCUACAGCAUCCUGCUUUACAGAGCUAGAUGUGCUUUUGACUACGGCCACUAUUCAAUUUUCCCAGCAGUCAGCAGCAGAUGCUGCCAAUGCAAUGCUGCCUCAUCACUUGGAAUGCCCUACUUUCAUCCUUUUACCUUCCGAGAGGGAUGUUUGUUUGCUCAUUUCCCUGCCAAGUGUUCAACCUCACACACCAGACCCCCAGCCUUGGUUCAUUCACUUGAGGCAGCACUUCUAUGCCAAGGGAGCAAUUGACUUCAGGAUUUGUGCCGUUGUUCGCUGCAAGCACGCACUGCCAAACAGUUUGGGCUUUCCUGUGUCCUGCUGGGCUGCUCUCCACUGUGUGCUGGGCCAGAUAAUCUCCCACUGCCCUCCCACUGCAGAGAAGAGGUUUGUUUGCUGGUAUGUUUUGCCUUGUUGCUUGGGUGGCUGUGGUUUUGAAACCAUGAAGUUUCCUGGGAAAAUGAGAGCAUGCGAUUGGCAUUUCUGCGUGGGUCUCUGAACUGGAAUUGAGCUACCCAGGAACCUGGGUUGGGAAGAAAUUGGCACAGCAACUUUUGGCAGCUCUGAGAGAAUUGAUCCUCAAAUACCACCAAGGGAGAAGUCUGAUCUGUGAUGACUACACAACCCCACACUCUGGUUAAGGGAAGAAAGCAGUCAUAAACGGAUGAUGCCACACAUUGAACCCAUGAUGGGAGAGCAAACAGCCUCAAUAGAAAAUAUAAAUUCUAUUUGGAGGAACACAUGAGACUUUCUUUAAAUCUGAUUGUGAAAAUAGGUUUGGUGUCAGUUGUAAUAAAGAGAACUUCAUGGAUCAUUCA